rnacentral:rRNA from 1 species
UACGUAGGGUGCGAGCGUUAAUCGGAAUUAUUGGGCGUAAAGGGCGCGUAGGCGGCCUGGCAAGUGGAAGGUGAAAUCCCUCGGCUUAACCGAGGAACUGCCUCCCAAACUGCUUGGCUUGAGACCGGGCGAGGUGAGUGGAAUUCCCAGUGUAGCGGUGAAAUGCGUAGAUAUUGGGAGGAACACCAGUGGCGAAGGCGGCUCACUGGACCGGUACUGACGCUGAUGCGCGAAAGCGUGGGGAUCAAACAGG